GCCACGUGAUAUGCAAAUCUGGAAAAAACUGGAUCCAUCUGGUGAUGCACAUGUGAAGACGGUGGAAAGAGUGUUAGGUGAAGAUAUUUUCUGAAACGCAAAGAGGCGAAGACGCUGAAAAGAGUUCAGAGCAAGAAAGUGUUGCAAAGGGGGCAGCAUGAAGGAAGUAUCCUGUUGGAAGUGAACUUUCAUUUGUUAAUGUGACACAUUUGGUGUACAUUCAUGAUCUGUGGUUUUAGGCUUCACCAUUGCAUUGCAGCCUGUUUCAAAAAAUAAAGUGAAAUGCUUUAUUUUG